rnacentral:rRNA from 1 species
UACAGAGGGGGCAAGCGUUGUUCGGAAUUACUGGGCGUAAAGGGCGCGUAGGCGGCCUUCUAAGUCGAACGUGAAAUCCCCGGGCUCAACCCGGGAACUGCGUCCGAUACUGGAAGGCUUGAAUCCGGGAGAGGGAUGCGGAAUUCCAGGUGAGCGGUGAAAUGCGUAGAUAUCUGGAGGAACACCGGUGGCGAAGGCGGCGAUCCUGGACCGGCAUUGACGCUGAGGCGC